AAGGGAGACCUAAUUCGGGUAUAAGACGGAAAAAGAGUAGUCGAAACCAAGAAUCAAUCCCGAAAGGUCGGAACGAGGUAUGUGGCUUUCAAACUAGGUUCUGGGUUCACACAAGACCUGAAUCAGGAACAAGGGCUAUUAGCUCAGGUGGUUAGAGCGCACCCCUGAUAAGGGUGAGGUCCCUGGUUCGAGUCCAGGAUGGCCCACCUGCACAGGUGGCAAAAACAAAGAAGCGAGGAAUCAGCACCUUAUCUUAUCUAUAUAUAAGAGAGAAUGCUGGCUCUGAGUAAAGAGUCCAGAGGAACCUUGAAAACUGCAUAGAGCUAGGUGAAAAAGCCAAAAAAGAAGACCGCAA
rnacentral:tRNA from 1 species